CUCACUAACUAAGGGAAGACUUUCUCCACUGAGUGGAUUUAUUUUCUUCCCUCCCGAGGUGCAAGCCGUAUGGGUCAGAAUAACUUACUCCAUUCUGCUGAAGAGGAAUUACGCCUGGACGGCUCCCCGAAGGACAAUCGCGGCCCCAGUCCAUAUGUAAAGCAGCCUCGGGAGCUCUGCUCCGCAGCUGCGCCCUAUUAUCACGACGGCGGCCGGCUGCCUUCGUCUUUAACUGUAAACGCUCCUGACAGCUCCAGUGGAGAUAAUUACGAUGCUUCAGGGAACUUUCGGCCUUGCUAAAAAUACUGCGCAACAGUUUGAGGCGAGGAAGAUGCUUAGGCGUGAUCUGGUAAAAACUCCCGGAGCUGGCGGCUGCAAGUUAUGGGUGGGAACCGCUUGGCUGCCUGGCCGCUGCCAUUUUCAUCCAUCGAAACCGGUUCUCAGUCUCACAGCUGGUCCUGGUCCUGGUCCUGCCCGACAGGAAAGAACAGAAAGGAGCGGAAACUAGUGGACUACAAGGAAGACAGAGAGUUGAAUGUGACACUCAGCAGUGUGCAUGACAUUGGCAGUCUGGACAAGAUCUGUGCUGUUGCAAUGGCUGGGGCAUCAAAGGAGGAAAGCAGGUGGCUUCGGGAACCAAGAAGGGGCUUCUGGGCUGCCCUGAGGAUCCAUCAAAGAGAACGAUCAGAAAGGUAGGUAGCUAAGACUCGUGGGCAAGUGGUGUGUUUCUGUCAGCAGCUGGAUACAGGAGUGAGGCAGAUGAAUAGUUGGGGUGGCUUGUGUCGGCUCGGAGGGCUGCUGGGGACCAUGGCGUUGAAGCAUGGAAAGGAAAGAAGGGACUGAAAAUCAGCUGUCCUCCCCGCCAGGAUGGGAGACUGACAGAGAGGUCUUAAUAGAAUGUAGCACCGAAGGAUAACUGGAGGGCUAGGAAUGUAGUACAGGUGGGGGUGUGUUUGCUGGGUACUCGCAAAGCCCUGGGUUUAAUCCCAGCCCUACAUAAAUCAGGGUGCUGGCACCUAUAAUCCUAGCACUUGGAAGGCAGAGGU